GACGAACGCUGGCGGCGUGCUUAACACAUGCAAGUCGAACGGAAAGGCCCUGCUUUUGUGGGGUGCUCGAGUGGCGAACGGGUGAGUAACACGUGAGUAACCUGCCCUUGACUCUGGGAUAACUUCAGGAAACUGGGGCUAAUACCGGAUAGGAGCUCCUGCUGCAUGGUGGGGGUUAGAAAGUUUCGGCGGUUGGGGAUGGACUCGCGGCUUAUCAGCUUGUUGGUGGGGUAGUGGCUUACCAAGGCUUUGAUGGGUAGCCGGCCUGAGAGGGUGACCGGACACAUUGGGACUGUGAUACGGCCCAGACUCCUACGGGAGGCAGCAGUGGGGAAUAUUGCACAAUGGGCGGAAGCCUGAUGCAGCAACGCCGCGUGCGGGAUGACGGACUUCGGGUUGUAAACCGCUUUCGCCUGUGACGAAGCGUGAGUGACGGUAAUGGGUAAAGAAGCGCCGGCUAACUACAUG
rnacentral:rRNA from 1 species